GCAACCCAAGUAUACGAGUAGGAAGAAGAAGUGCAAACGCUUUUUUCACGUAACCAAAUACAAACCAAAGAAGCAGAAACUGCUGGCCGCCCAUUGGUGCAGGUGUUCUGACUGUACACGUCUUUAGAAAAGCUGCAGAGAGAGGGAACAGCCAUGAGUCUGCUGUGAUAAUGGAUCGCAGCAGGGCAGACAGGAGCAGAAUUCAAAGAUGUGGUAACUACAACAACGUAGUGGAGCCCGAGUACGACGUGGUGGACGACCAGGAGGAAGUGCAC